GAAAUGCGAAAAGCAAUGCGAAUUGCAGAAUUCCGCGAGUCAUCAGAUCUUCGAACGCAUCUGGCGCCGAUCGGAUAUCCGUCCGGCAUGUUUGUUUCAGUGUCUUGUUGAGACUCACAAAUCUCAAUGUGAUUGAUCCCCCAAAAAAUGUGGAAACGCAUUCGAUGGGGUAUCUCUCAUGAAGUUAGGACUGCGGCAACGAACCGAUGCAGUAGUCAGUCUCGUACUGAUACUCAUUGGGACGAAGCCAUAACAGCGGUCACACAACUACAACAUUGACAUCCACAACGCAUCUGAGACAAGCAAGAUCACCCGCUGAACUUAA
rnacentral:misc_RNA from 1 species